UUGAAUGAAUGUAGAGAGAACAGCUUCACGUUUAUCUUACUUUAAAAGAAGUAUAUUAAGAAUACUUAAUUUUUUCAAUUUAUCAUAUUUAUGCUUAAUGAUAAACUUGGAGACUAAGUAUUCAAAAGUUCUUCAUUUGUUCAAAAAUGUUUCACUUGUUAUUUCUCCUACUAAGUUAUCGUUAAAUAGCUAAAAUUAAGACAUUUAUUAAACCUUUUA
rnacentral:lncRNA from 1 species